rnacentral:piRNA from 1 species
UGAAUAUCUUCUCCUCUUUUC